AACGCACAUUGCGCCCCUUGGUAUUCCGAGGGGCAUGCCUGUUCGAGCGUCAUUACAACCCUCAAGCACUGCUUGGUAUUGGGCUCCGCUGGUUUCAGCGGGCCUUAAAGUCAGUGGCAGCGCCGUCUGAGCUCUGAGCGUAGUAAAUCUCCUCGCUAUAGAGACCAGGUGGUCCCUCGCCAUCAACCCCCCCAACCUCCUAAGUUUGACCUCGGAUCAGGUAGGGAUACCCGCUGAACUUAA
rnacentral:misc_RNA from 1 species